rnacentral:rRNA from 1 species
GAUGAACGCUGGCGGAAUGCUUAACACAUGCAAGUCGACUUGACCUUCGGUGUGGGUGGCGGACGGGUGAGUGACGCGUACGGAACUUGCCUCCCAGCUAGGGCCAACAUUUGGAAACGAAUGCUAUUACCUGAUAUUAUGAUUAUCUGGCUUCGUAUAAUUAUGAAAGCUAUAUGCGCUGUGAGAGAGCUUUGCGUCCCAUUAGCUAGUUGGCGAGGUAACAGCACCCCAAGGCGAUGAUGGGUGGCCGGCCUGAGAGGGUGAUCGGCCACAAGGGGACUGAGGAACGGCCAGUACGCCAACGGGAGGCAGCAGUGGGGAAUAUUGGGCAAUGGACCGAGAGUGUGAUGCAGGAAUUCGGUGUGCACGAUGAAGUUUUUAGGAAUGUAAAGUUCUGUCAGUUGGGAAGAAAAAAAUGACGGUACCAACAGAAGAAGCGACGGCUAAAUACGUG